rnacentral:tRNA from 3 species
GGAGCUGUGGCCGAGUGGUCGAAGGCGCUCCCCUGCUAAGGGAGUAGGCCCGGAAGGGUCUCGAGGGUUCGAAUCCCUUCGGCUCCGCCA